rnacentral:rRNA from 1 species
GGACUACCCGGGUAUCUAAUCCUGUUUGCUCCCCACGCUUUCGCGUUUCAGUGUCAGUUACGGGCCAGAUAAUCGCCUUCGCCUCUGGUGUUCCUUUCAAUAUCUAAGCAUUUUACCGCUACACAGAAAAUUCCAUUAUCCCCUACCGCACUCUAGUUUGGCAGUAUUGCUUGCAUUAUCAGGUUGAGCCUGAUUCUUUAACAUUCAACUUACCAUACCACCUACACGCCCUUUAUGCCCAAUAAUUCCGAUUAAUGCUUGCACCCUCUGUAUUACCGCGGCUGCUGGCAC